UCUCACAGGAUCCUUCUGGAAAAAAUAUCCAACACACAUCUGGAUAAACACAUCGUGUCAUGGGAUAGCAACUGGCUCACAGAUGCCAAAGGUUUGGAACACUCCAACUCCAAUCUUCAAACCAGUUUACAGAUAUGAGCUACUGGGGUGCGGUGAUGAAGCCUAGGACAUUAGUUGAGAAGUACAAAAUAAAAAAUGGUCCUAAUGGAGCUUCAGGUUUUCAGAGCUUUCCCUGGAGAAAUUUCCAGCUAAAAUGAAAGCUACUCUCAGUAAAAUGGAAGUGUGCAAAUAUUUGACGUAAUUCAGGAUUAGAAAUCUUCAAUAUGGAAAGAAAAUCCCUAGACAGCUAUAGAGAGUCAUGGUACAAGAAUACCUGAAACAACAAUUGAAGAGUG